UCGGAGAGACUGAAAUUCCACAGGAGCAUAAUGCAUUCAAUAAGGAAAACUCACUAGGGAGGCAGAGACUCUGGGGGAGGGGGAUAACAAGCUAUGCGUAGGUCAGGCUACAACUUGAAAACUGCUGGAGACACGAGGGGGAAUGUCCAUGAAAAAAAAUCAAUGGAAGGACUCAGUUUGGGGAACCAGGAAAAUCUGCAAGGGAAACAAGUAGAUAAGAACAAA
rnacentral:lncRNA from 1 species